UAAAAAAUAGGUCAAAUACACGGCAUGUGUCCUUUUUUCAAAAGCUCCCUGUGGCAGCCCUCAGACCCCCUCCACGGCACACCAGCGUAUGCCGGUGCUGGGGAGGGGCUUUCUCCGGCGGUGGCAUGGUGACGUAUGUAAGGAUAAAGUGGAUCCGGCAGGCAUCAGGAAGGAACAGGAGCAAAGCUCGUCUCCUCCACCUGUCCUGGGCUUCAGAGUCGCAUCAUCCCACAGGGAUGCGGUCCCACGGCAGCACCAUGUGCAACGGAGGAGCUGUGAGCGGAGCAGAUCAGUGCUGGGGUGGCCUGUCCCGUCCAGGGUCAAGUAGAGUCACUCUGACCAGAUUCACUUGCAACCCCGCUCCAAAGUUCUUGGCUUUGAUGGCUGAGACUUGGGAACAGUCUGUGUCUCAUUACUGUGACUAGAAACAAGAUAAAGACUUCUGUGUUUGGCUUAACUACCAGAGAAAAGAGUGCAGGGAGACAAGCCACAGGUUCUCCUUUGAUCAGACGUCAUGGUUAUGACUGAUAGAAGCCCUCAGUAAGUUGAAGAGCUGACUGAAAAGCAGAGUUACUGUGUUACUCUAGAAUAAACAAAAC
rnacentral:lncRNA from 1 species